rnacentral:rRNA from 1 species
AGCGAACGUUAGCGGCGGGCCUAACACAUGCAAGUCGAACGGAUUGUAGCAAUACAGUCAGUGGCGCACGGGUGAGUAACGCGUAGGGGAUCUACCCUUAGUAGGGGGAUAACGUUUCGAAAGGAACGCUAAUACCGCAUAAGCCCACGAUGAGAAGUCAUUGAGGGAAAAGGUGGCGCCUGCAAGGGGCUAUUGACUAAGGAUGACCCUGCGUCCCAUCAGCUAGUUGGAGAGGUAAAGGCUCACCAAGGCGAAGACGGGUAGCUGGUCUGAGAGGAUGGACAGCCACACUGGCACUGGAACACGGGCCAGACUCCUACGGGAGGCAGCAGUGGGGAAUAUUGGGCAAUGGGCGAAAGCCUGACCCAGCCACGCCGCGUGAGUGAUGAAGGCCUUCGGGUUGUAAAGCUCUGUGGGAAGGGGCGAAAGGCAUAUAGAGUAAUAUGAUAUAUGUUUGACGGUACCUAUUUAGCAAGCACCGGCUAACUCUGUG